UAGUGAGUUUGAUCCUGGCUCAGGAUGAACGCUGGCGGUAUGCUUAACACAUGCAAGUCGAACGGAAGUCUUCGGACUUUAGUGGCGGACGGGUGAGUAACGCGUGAGAAACUGCCCCUUGGACCGGGACAACAGUUGGAAACGACUGCUAAUACCGGAUGAUGACUUCGGACCAAAGAUUUAUCGCCAUUAGAUGGGCCCGCGUAAGAUUAGCUAGUUGGUGGGUAAAGGCCUACCAAGGCGACGAUCUUUAGCUGGUCUGAGAGGAUGAUCAGCCACACUGGGACUGAGACACGGCCCAGACUCCUAC
rnacentral:rRNA from 1 species